rnacentral:pre_miRNA from 1 species
ACAACAUUCGAACCGUCGGCCUAAGGAGCAAUUUCACCCGCUCGGUGAAAGAUCUUCCCUUCGCCUU